rnacentral:rRNA from 1 species
CUUAGUAGCGGCGAGUGAGCGGCAAAAGCUCAAAUUUGAAAUCUGGCGCCUUCGGUGUCCGAGUUGUAAUUUGAAGAUUGUAACCUUGGGGUUGGCUCUUGUCUAUGUUUCUUGGAACAGGACGUCACAGAGGGUGAGAAUCCCGUGCGAUGAGAUGCCCAAUUCUAUGUAAGGUGCUUUCGAAGAGUCGAGUUGUUUGGGAAUGCAGCUCUAAGUGGGUGGUAAAUUCCAUCUAAAGCUAAAUAUUGGCGAGAGACCGAUAGCGAACAAGUACAGUGAUGGAAAGAUGAAAAGAACUUUGAAAAGAGAGUGAAAAAGUACGUGAAAUUGUUGAAAGGGAAGGGUUUGAGAUCAGACUCGAUAUUUUGUGAGCCUUGCCUUCGUGGCGGGGUGACCCGCAGCUUAUCGGGCCAGCAUCGGUUUGGGCGGUAGGAUAAUGGCGUAGGAAUGUGACUUUACUUCGGUGAAGUGUUAUAGCCUGCGUUGAUGCUGCCUGCCUAGACCGAGGACUGCGAUUUUAUCAAGGAUGCUGGCAUAAUGAUCCCAAACCGCCCGUCUU